CCUACGGGAGGCAGCAGUAGGGAAUAUUGCUCAAUGGGGGAAACCCUGAAGCAGCAACGCCGCGUGGAGGAUGACGGUUUUCGGAUUGUAAACUCCUUUUGUUAGAGAAGAUAAUGACGGUAUCUAACGAAUAAGCACCGGCUAACUCCGUUCCCGCAGCCGCGGUAAUACGGAGGGUGCAAGGGUUACUCGGAAUCACUGGCGUAAAGAGAGCGUAGGCGGGAUAGAAAGUCAGAUGUGAAAUCCUAUGGCUUAACCAUAGAACUGCAUUUGACACUGUUAUUCUAGAGUAUGGGAGAGGUAGGUGGAAUUCGUGGUGUAGGGGUACAAUGCGUAGAGAUCAAGAGGAA
rnacentral:rRNA from 1 species